ensembl:rRNA 5S_rRNA 5S ribosomal RNA
GCUUACGGCCAUACCACCCUGAGAACGCCCGAUCUUGUCUGAUCUGGGAAGCUAAGCAGGGUCGGGCCUGGUUAGCACUUGGAUGGGAGACCGCCUGGGAAUACCAGGUGCUGUAAGCU